UAAGAAGAUUUCGCUAAUAUAACUAAGAUUUAAAUUUUACUUAUUUUUUUAAGCAAACUAGUGCAAUUACUAAGCUUAAUUUGAGAAACCAGUUAAGCUAAUAAAAUUGAGGAAAGAUGGCUUCACGUUUAUUUUAAGAAAAUUCACUCAAUUAUGUGGAUUUGAUUGAGAUGUUUGCAUUUGAAUCUCAACAACGGCAGUGAUCAGACGACAUUUUGAAGGAGCAGAUCAACAGCGAGCAUGUUAAGAGUUUAAUGAAGAAAACUUUCGCAGUGUUUUCCCACUAAAGAGGAGCAGUUUAUUGAGGCAGAUUUUGAUAAAGAGAAUGGGUGCCAUACAUCAGACCUCACAUUAAAUCAGGGAUGAAACGAGAGAUGUCGUCCUCUGUUGCUGGUCUAUCUGUAUGAAUAAGAGGAAGAGCUCAUCCAGGAGUGCAAUUGUGGGAAUGCACAGG